UUUGGGCGUACAACAUCGGGGGACGUGUCCCCAACGUGGAGCUCAGGGAAAUGAACCUCACUAAUAGCAAGAGCUUAUUACAGACUUGGAAAAGUGGAACAUAAAGCGUUGGGUGGAGUUUGGUAGGGUAUAAAGAAAUACAGCCGAAGAAGUCAGACCCA
rnacentral:sRNA from 12 species